rnacentral:tRNA from 2 species
GCCGGUGAGAUGUAACGGCUGCAUCUCUGCCUUCCAAGCAGAUUGAGCGGGUUCGAUUCCCGUCACCGGUUCCA